AUGAACGCUGGCGGCGUGCCUAAUACAUGCAAGUCGCGCGAACAGACGAGGAGCUUGCUCCUCUGACGUUAGCGGCGGACGGGUGAGUAACACGUGGAUAACCUACCUAUAAGACUGGGAUAACUUCGGGAAACCGGAGCUAAUACCGGAUAAUAUAUUGAACCGCAUGGUUCAAUAGUGAAAGACGGUUUUGCUGUCACUUAUAGAUGGAUCCGCGCCGCAUUAGCUAGUUGGUAAGGUAACGGCUUACCAAGGCAACGAUGCGUAGCCGACCUGAGAGGGUGAUCGGCCACACUGGAACUGAGACACGGUCCAGACUCCUACGGGAGGCAGCAGUAGGGGAUCUUCCGCAAUGGGCGAAAGCUUGACGGAGCAACGCCGCGUGAGUGAUGAAGGUCUUCGGAUCGUAAAACUCUGUUAUUAGGGAAGAACAAAUGUGUAAGUAACUAUGCACGUCUUGACGGUACCUAAUCAGAAAGCCACGGCUAACUACGUG
rnacentral:rRNA from 1 species